rnacentral:rRNA from 1 species
GACGAACCGUGCGAACGUUGUUCGGAUUCACUGGGCUUAAAGGGCGCGUAGGCGGGCGAUCAAGUCCGGGGUGAAAUCUUUCGGCUCAACCGGAAGAGUGCCUUGGAUACUGGUCGCCUCGAGGGAGGUAGGGGCAUGCGGAACUUCCGGUGGAGCGGUGAAAUGCGUAGAUAUCGGAAGGAACGCCGGUGGCGAAAGCGGCGUGCUGGACCUCUUCUGACGCUGAGGCGCGAAAGCCAGGGGAGCGAACGGG